rnacentral:misc_RNA from 1 species
UACGUAGGGUCCAAGCGUUAUCCGGAAUGACUGGGCGUAAAGAGAUGCGUAGGCGGCUCUGUAAGCGGAUAUUGAAAUCCCACGGCUUAACCGUGUGGCCGGUAUCCGAACUGCAGGGCUAGAGUGUGAGAGGGGUAGCUGGAAUUGCUGGUGUAGGAGUGAAAUCCGUAGAUAUCAGCAGGAACACCGAUGGCGAAGGCAGGCUACUGGCUCAUUACUGACGCUAAGGCUCGAAAGCAUGGGUAGCGAACCGG